UUGACUUAUAGGUGUUUUGGUUGUAGGGACUCCAGCCCCAGGCCUUUGUAGCUAAGCAGAUAAUACGGCCCUUCAGGAGCCAACUCUGUCCUGGUUCUUCAUGAGACACACGUGUGUGCACGUGUGUCUGAGUGUGAGUAUGAGGCGGGUGGGUGCACAGAGGCCCGCCGACGUCUAUUACAUGGAGAAACAUCUGUUUUCAGCCGAACAUCCAGAGUAUCAGAUGUUUUACUGCAAGGAAGCCAUUUUUUUAAUAAAACGAAAAUGAGACAUGGAAAUCAAGAUCCUGUGCAAAUGAACAUAAUCCCCGACAGGAAAGGCAUUGCAGAGUCCUGGCAUCAGGCGUGGAGCCUCUGGGCUUCAUGUGAGGAAUGCCAGAUGCUGUUGGCCUUGGCCUUCUCCUCGGUUAGCAUCUUUGCACCAGAGGAAACAUCUACCUCCCAACCCCCAACCUGAGUCGAAAUCUUGACAAAGAGGAAGCAAGCCUUGGGGUUCUCUAGCUGAAAAGACGAAAGCACUGGCUCAUGGGGACUCGUGUAAUUAUUCUCCCAAGCAUGUAGCACUUUUACAAAUAUCCCAGACAGGGCUUGGAUAAAUAACAUGGCUUAUGGUAAGGGUACAGCCACCUUCUGGGUUUCUGAUUAACAGGAAGAACCUUUGCUCUUUAAUGUUAAUUGCUUGGCAUCCAUCCUGGAGAAAAAAAAAAAGACUACAUCUUCUCUGAAAGAAGGCAGAGGAUGCAAUUGGUACAGGGUCCUGGCUGCUUCAGAGGUGGAGAGGAUAUGUUAUAUAGUCCAUCCAUCAUGGCCCACAAAGAUAUUCAGGGCUGACUGAGUGGAAAUCCAGACCUGUAUGGGAAAAUCUAACCCGGAGGCCAUCAGCUCGCUAUUCACCUACAUGACCUUCACUGAGCAGACAAUUGAGCCACACACAUCGUUCUGGGAUGAGCAGGAGCAGUUACACAUCAUCUCUGACCCAGGGGAACUAAAGGAGAGACACACACGUCCUGUGGUGUCAGGCAAGUCAAAGCAAGCCGUUUAAUACCUCGGACUUCACUGUCCUCAGCUUGUAUAGG
rnacentral:lncRNA from 1 species